CGAACACCAUAGUUUCAAAUUUGGUCAAAUUAAAUUUUAUGGCAAAAAAAGUCUUGCAAACUUUUUUCAAGUUGUCAGUUUUUUAAGAUUUGAAUAACCUUGAACGAGGAUGCGCCGAUAUCAGCUGCUAAAUAGGACAAAAUGUAAACUUCAGUAAAAGAUUCAAAUGAGCAAAGCACAGAUUGAAGAUGUUGAAUGAAUUGAGUAUCAGAGGGACGCAAUACAUCUUGACCUCACUGUCGAACAGAGUGAUACAGAGGUGCACAUUAUGCAGUACGAGGCCUUCUUCAGUGGAUAAAUGGCAGAGUCCAUAUCGACAAUUCACCCCUACUAGGCCAUAUUGUGUGAGGCAGAAGUUUCCUGAUCAGAAUGUGAUCUGUCAUCGAUGGUUCUCUACUACUACAUGGGGCACUCAACAGAGAAAAGCUGUUACAGAGAGAAAGUCAGGCUCAGAUGGACAACAAUUAACUAUAGGAA